UUAGUUCGCCCAUCUCCUAGG
ensembl:piRNA 21ur-8986 ncRNA